GACGAACGCUGGCGGUGUGCCUAAUACAUGCAAGUCGAACGAGAGCGACCGGUGCUUGCACUGGUCAAUCUAGUGGCGAACGGGUGAGUAACACGUGGGUAACCUGCCCAUCAGAGGGGGAUAACAUCCGGAAACGGAUGCUAAAACCGCAUAGGUCUUCGAACCGCAUGGUUUGAAGAGGAAAAGAGGCGCAAGCUUCUGCUGAUGGAUGGACCCGCGGUGCAUUAGCUAGUUGGUGAGGUAACGGCUCACCAAGGCCGUGAUGCAUAGCCGACCUGAGAGGGUGAUCGGCCACAUUGGGACUGAGACACGGCCCAAACUCCUACGGGAGGCAGCAGUAGGGAAUCUUCCGCAAUGGACGCAAGUCUGACGGAGCAACGCCGCGUGAGUGAAGAAGGUUUUCGGAUCGUAAAACUCUGUUGUUAGAGAAGAACAAGUGCUAGAGUAACUGUUAGCGCCUUGACGGUAUCUAACCAGAAAGCCACGGCUAACUACGUG
rnacentral:rRNA from 1 species